UACAGGGGGUGCAAACGUUGCUCGGAAUCAUUGGGCGUAAAGCGCACGUAGGCGGUCUGUUAUGUCGGAUGUGAAAGCCCUUGGCUCAACUGAGGAAGUGCAUCCGAAACUGGCAGGCUAGAGUACGAAAGAGGAUCGCGGAAUUCCCGGUGUAGAGGUGAAAUUCGUAGAUAUCGGGAGGAACACCGGUGGCGAAGGCGGCGACCUGGGUAGAUACUGACGCUGAGGUGCGAAAGCGUGGGGAGCAAACAGG
rnacentral:rRNA from 1 species